ACGUGGGCCUGGGCAGCCUGCUCUGGGUGUCCCUGCUUGGGCAGGGCUGGCACCAGGGGCCUCCAGGAGGUCCUGCCAGCCUCAGCCAUCCUGUGGCUCUGUGAUUUUGUAUGCAAUAGCACAGGAGAAGCAUUUGUCCUCAAGUGCCAGUGAGAGACAAAAGGCUUGGCCUGAGAAAGAAACAAAUGAUUUCUGGUGGCAGAUGACUUAAUCCAAACAUUUUAAGUGUAUUUGGACAAAUUAUCCUUGGCCUAGAAAUAUAUUGUACUAAUGAAGUUAUGCUGUCAGCCAUUGCAGGCCUGGCAGGACUUGCAAACUACUUUAAUCCUCCAAGAACAAAUUUGCCCAGGCAAUAAUUUGACUUGUCAUUAGUAAAUUCCUAGCUCAGCUUUUUAAGAGACAGGAACAUACAAAAAAGUAUUGAUCUCUACAUUAUUGAUUCCUACCAGAUGAUUGCAUCAGGUUUCUUCUGAGGUCUGUAGCAAAUUGAUCUAUGGGCUAUAUUUUCCCACCUGUAUAUUGGAGUUACACAGGCUUUAGAGAGGGCUUUUUAGAAUAAUGCAGCAGCUUGUUGUUUUGAUUUCAAAAGAACAUGGAGCUUGCCAAAUCUCUUCAAAAGGAGGGAAAAAAAAAAUAAGGUAAUUUGUCCUUGUAAGUGCUGAUGAAACAUGAGAAUAGAUCAGUGUGCCUUGUAAAUAGGGUGCUUAAGAACAGGUCCUCUGUUGUGUGCUGGGCUGUUGCAUGAAAAAAAAAAAAAAAAGAUAACACAAAGGGGAGUCAGAUUGCAGCAAGGUUUUUAUUCUUGCCUUAACAUCUCUACUGAUGUUGGGUGUCACUCUCCCUAACCAGAUCAAGAAAAAUAAAGAUGUUUUCAAUAACAGGAUUCAACCUACCUAGCUACGCGUUAGGCAGCUUUUCCUGAAUUUGUCAUCCUAGAUUUUCUUUCCAGUCAGUAGAGAGAAAUCCACUAGAUAGGUCAUCUGAUCCAUUUCUCUCUUUGUUAGAAUGAGAGGAACUGCUCACUGAUGAAGGUGUCAAUUUCCUUCCAUUGACUACACAUGGAGCAGAUGGUGAUUAGCUCAGGUUUAGAUGUAUGACUUCUAAGCACUAGUCUGAGACAGAUCCCAUGCUUUUAUUUCCUCCUUCUCUCUAUUUAUUUUUUUUUUCCCAAGACAUAUCACUGUCCUAUUCCUAAUCAGCACCAGAUGAGUCAAGAGGGCACACCCUUGUUGCUUCAUCCUUCCCCCAAAAUAACCCUUCAGCUGUGCAUGACUUCCCUGCUCCCCAGCCUGCAUUGCUCGGUUAAACCACGCCAUUCCUGAGCAGAUUCCCCACAGGCCACUUGCUAGUGCUGAGGAGGGCUUGGACAGCUGCUGCAAGCAGUGCCUGUGGUGCAGUGGGAGCACAGCGUGUGCUCAGCCACACCUUACCAGGGGUCCUUCUGUUUUCAUGGCUCACAUUUUUUCCUUUGACAACGGGAGUGAUGCUGCUGGGCUGCGUCCAUUGGGCAAUACCCUGACAUGACUGAUAAUAUUUUUUUUUCAGUAAGACGCAGCAGACACAGCUGUUAAGGGUCUGCACUAAUGGGUCUGCAGUGUUAUCCUUCACCAUAAGACAAAAGAAAACCCGUUUGAUUUAGCAUACGGUUCUCCCCACUUCAGAGGUGGGUUGCUGAAGCGGGGUUUGCCUUGUCCCAGGCAGCAAAGGAAGGGGUGAGGCAGUUGCAUGGAAGCUGUGGUGUAGGAACUUCGCCAGCCUGGGAAUGAAGCUCGGCUGCUUACCUCAGAGAAGUCAGCACCAGGGAACUCGCUGAUAUCAAAUCCUGAUGGAGUACUGGAGAUUCUCAAACAUGGACUGGGUCAUGGCACCAGAGCACUGAAGAAACUGCAUUACCUACACCUGGAAGCCCAGCUCUACCUCUGCGUUAGAAACUGCCCAGGUAGCACAAGCAGUUGAUCAGCAUCAGCUGAUCAUGCCUCAAAAGAGCAGCAGUCCUGGAGAACUGGGUUCCACGCUAUAGCCUGUAAGGAACCACAUGCAAUGUUUGUAUCUUUGGAAGAGAGGGUUAAAAUCAUCUACCAAGUUAAACAAACACUGCCACCUUGGAAAAGCCUCAUUACAUCGCCUAGAGAUGUCUGCCAUUAGUGUGACACCUCCAUGUAAAGAGAUAAAGCUGUUGCAAUUAGAUGUGAUUUUCAUCCAUGCAGUUUACUUCUGCUUCCAACCAGUUAUUUCAAAUUACUGUUUGUGUUUGACACCAGGCUGGCAGCAACAGCAGAAGCUCAACAGCACACGGACUCACUUAUUUAUUGUUUGCUGUGCCAUAUCACAUUUCUAAAGAUGCCUGUGCAGCAUCUUCCCCUACUGGAAAGGUAUUGAGAGUAAAAUAUGCACCUCACCUUUGCCAGUGGAAAUGGAGUAUCAUAGCAAUCAGGAAAGCUGUGAACUGUGCCACCCACUCAGUUAUUUACAUAGAUCAUCCAUUAAACAAAGCAUUUAAGCAAUGAAA